rnacentral:rRNA from 1 species
UGCGGCGGUAAUAACGGUGAGGUCCCACCUCUUCCCAUUCCGAACAGAGAAGUUAAGCUCACGUGUGCCGAUGGUACUGCCCCACCAGGUGGGAGAGUAGGUCGCUGCCGCAU